UGAAAGGGCUCAGUUGGUGGAGCACGAGACUCAUCAUCUCAGGUUCGUGGGUUCAAGCCCCAAGUUGAGAAAAG